GCAGUCGAGCGGUAGAGAGAAGCUUGCUUCUCUUGAGAGCGGCGGACGGGUGAGUAAUGCCUAGGAAUCUGCCUGGUAGUGGGGGAUAACGUUCGGAAACGGACGCUAAUACCGCAUACGUCCUACGGGAGAAAGCAGGGGACCUUCGGGCCUUGCGCUAUCAGAUGAGCCUAGGUCGGAUUAGCUAGUUGGUGGGGUAAUGGCUCACCAAGGCGACGAUCCGUAACUGGUCUGAGAGGAUGAUCAGUCACACUGGAACUGAGACACGGUCCAGACUCCUACGGGAGGCAGCAGUGGGGAAUAUUGGACAAUGGGCGAAAGCCUGAUCCAGCCAUGCCGCGUGUGUGAAGAAGGUCUUCGGAUUGUAAAGCACUUUAAGUUGGGAGGAAGGGCAUUAACCUAAUACGUUAGUGUUUUGACGUUACCGACAGAAUAAGCACCGGCUAACUCUGUGCCAGCAGCCGCGGUAAUACAGAGGGUGCAAGCGUUAAUCGGAAUUACUGGGCGUAAAGCGCGCGUAGGUGGUUCGUUAAGUUGGAUGUGAAAUCC
rnacentral:rRNA from 1 species